UUGAGAUCUUCUUUCCCCUUUUUGAUUGUAGCGCUCUCUGUGUGUCUCUCUCUCACUCGCGCACGCACCAAACCGCUCGGAUGCUUCAGGACCGGCCACUUUGCGAGGGGAACAACACGGGAGGGUUUGUAUUACUCCAGCCCAGGUUUCAGGCAGGUUAGAUGCUUGCCUCACACGCCAACCCCCAAGCAGAGAGAUUGGAGUAUGUUACCGCGGAGUUAAAGUCUAACUCCUCUGCAGCACGGUGAGGUUCCAGAAUCACUCUCCUUGCAGUCAUAAAGCUAGGAAGUGCAAUCACCAGGCAUGUGGUCCUGACCUCAGUCUGAGGAUCCUUGGCCUAGAGUCAAGCAGUCGCUGCAGUUACCGAAACAGCCAAAUUAACUGUCUGCUUAGCCAUGGAUUAAAAUUCAUCCACUGAUCCAAGACAGUCCUUUUAUGAUACUAUCUGGAUUCAUACUGUUUUUCUAGGAAGAGAGAAAACAUAUCUCAGUGCAAUCCAAAAGUGCUCUUCCGUGCCUUUGACUCUGUUUAAAAGAUGUACCACUUUUGUUUUUUUUUGCAAGUGUUACUGUAUAAUCAUCAGGCUGCUGGUGAAGGGAAACACUUAAGAUCCAUAUACACUAAUGUGAAAAUGGCUAGUGUAAUGAUGAAGAGAAAAUUGCUAGGAUAAAACAAAACGCAAUGCAGAAAUGCACCCAUACCAUGUGCAGGGUAAAAUCCCACAGAUGACUAACAUACUGGCAAAAGCAUUCAUAUUCACAUGAAUGUUAUCCCUGUAAAAGUGCCAAGUGCACCAAGAUGUUGUGUAGAAGUUCUGGUCAUGUAAGGUAAAGCUUCCCAGAGGCACCCUUUAAUUGGUCUAAUUUUCCCUGCCAAACACCAUCAAAGUUCUAGAUGUUCAGGCCAGGUCUUGUCACUUUAUUAUUUCAUCACUUUUUGGAUUACCUACUCUCAGCAAAAAUGCUCUCAAACAUAUUUGCUGCCUCUAUGUUUCUCUCCCCUUUGCAUGCAUGUACACAAACACACCUCCUUCCGUAAGAGCCUUGGUAAACCCUUACAAAAUAAAGGAAAAUAAUGGAGCUGGAACUACUAUUCAACUCCGUAAGGUAAACGGCUGUCCAGAUACUUUUAAAUUUCAAGGGCAGGCAUAGGAAAUCUUCCCAGCACAUUAGAAACAGAGUCCGCUCUAUUUCUUUUUAAUUUCCAGCCUUUUUGAGGAAAAACACACACACACAAAAACAAAUUCCAAGAGAAAUAAAAAAGUAAAACACAACACAACAAUUCAAGCUGUGUUCCAUAUGCUGCUUCUUACUCCCUGUGUAGAUACGUAGGAAAUACAUGGAGUUAGGUUAGCACAAGCAUUUCUGGGAAAGUUGUUAUUAAAGGGAAGGCAACUGCUAAAGUCAGUUCAUGAAAUGACUGAGACGAGUACUGCACUCAAUGAAUAGGCUGUUUUCCAUAGUAGUAAUACAAAAAAUCAUGCCAGCGUGGGAUGACUCACCACAAAUAGGUGGGUUUGACUCUUGGCUCUGACAUUGACUUAUUGCAUGGCCUUAGGCAAAUCCCGAAACAUUUGUUUUUACUUCUCCAUUUAUGUGAUUUGAAUAAUACUUCUAUACCUGAAGGGGAUAUUUUAAGAUACAAUAUGUUUAAGAUACUACAAAGAUUUUAAAUGCUAUAACAUAGCUACGCCUCAUUAACAACGUCAGGGUAAAAUAAACACUGGGAUGAUUUAGGUAAUGUGGUACAUGUUCCUGGAACUGAGAACUUCGCUGAACAAAGAGCAAAAUCUUCAAAGAGCCAGAAGUAAGGGAAGGUACAGCCCAUUGCAAAGCUGAAGUACUUUGCAAGGGUGGAUGAAUUUAUAGGGAAGGAAAAACAAGUUUGUUUAAUAGGCAAAAGUUCAGUCUUCAUUAAUUAUUUAAGUGGUUAGGCAGAAAAGCAACACACACUCAGGUGUGGGUGAAGAAAACAAAAAACAUAGGCCUCAGUUCUCCAUGUGUAUUGAAGCUAGAGAGGAUUUUGCAAGGGUGAGACCUGACAGUUUGUUUUUGUUGCCUAUAUAGUAUGAAAACUGUAGUACCAAAAGAGAUCCCCUCCAUGUGAAUCUUCCUCUCCUGUUAGGAAGGGGAGAUACCUUCACUGAAACAGCAAAAAGUGCUCUGCAGGGCUCACCAGGACUUCAUCAUGCAAAAAGGAUGGCUCUUAUCCUGGUGAACUUUCCAGCAGGGGAGAAGGCCAAGCUCAGUGACAGAAGGGUUGGAAACUCUGCAAAAAGAGACGGGCCCCAGAAAAGUCCCUGGAUAGAGAUUCUGUGGUAUGUUAACUGGAUUGAACUGAUGCUAUCAGGAGGCAGGAGCAAGGCUUGCAGCACAGACUGAAGUGAGGGGGCCCAGACCUCUGCCUAGGGACUGUGGGCCUGUCACCAGUGUCCUUAAAUACUGCUCAGAACAGAAGGGAUGCAUUUCUGGGCUAACCCAGAGAGAGGCAACUCCAACCCACAGCAUAUCAGAUAGGAAAAUACAACAGCAUUAGAACUUCUGAGAUUUUCUUCCUUUUUUGUUUUCUCUAAGCUAUUUUUCCAUACUUGGGACCUUAGUUAAAAACUGUACUCUUAAAAGAAUGGUGAUGGGAAGCCUGAUAGCAUAGAGAAUGGUAUAAAAGUAUGUGAAAUUGGGUUAAGUGCUAUACAGGUAGGAGGGAGAAGCUCGAGCUGAGUGAGGAUGAAGAGAAGAAGCUGAAGUGGAUGUUGUUAAAGUGAGGGAGGAUGGAAGAAGAGAGACAUACCUUCAGCGGUGGUCAGUGGCAGGGAAUGGGUAAAACAGUAAAGUUUGAAAUACUAAGAAGUGAGACAGUCAGUGCCAAGAUCUACUUUUUCGUUAGAUGUUAUUCUUUUGGUAUUUCAGUAAACCCGAGAACACAAGUCGAGUGGCCUGACCUUGAGUGGGUUGUGAUCUAGACAGGACCUCCAGCUGCUGGAGAUAAACUUUGGUCCUUUUCACUGGUUUGGCAGGAAAGGACCAGGAAUCUGCCCAGUCUCCAGCCCAGCUCAGGUUAUUUUCACAGCAAGAAGCCCUGACUGUGAUCUCUGAGACUGCUCAGUGAUACAAAUCUAAAUGCUGUCUGUGGAGAGAUCUGGGAGACUUGCCUCCAAAGAGCAGUUUUAGUCCUGGACCCAUUCAAAUAGUGCAGUAUGUAUGAAUGGGGCAGGCUGGACUUGCCUCAUGUCAAAAUCAAGGUAAUUUUGAAGUUGCCAGUAUAGGCUACUCCUUGGUAGAUGUUACUGAAUGGGGCAGUAGCUGUACUUCAGACACUACAACUAUUUAUCUGUCAUAUUUACUGCUUAUGACUACUCUAAAUGUAGGUACUGACUCAAGAAUGCAGUUCAAGAUCCUAAUGUAUUUCUGGAUAUAGAACAGUUUCCUGUACCAGAAAAGAGAUCAGUUUACAAACUGGAAAUACUUUUAAGUACUUCAUUGAUAGACAUCAUUUGAGAGACACAAAAUCAAAUUCAUAUUAAACUAACAAAGCUGAUACAUUUUUACUACAUCUGCAGACCACAGAACACUUUGCUUUCAAGAAAAAUUGAAUAAAUCACAGAGCUUUCUUAAGGAGACUUCUCCCCUUGUCUUCAGAAAGUCCUUAAUGUGACAUCUGUCCCUGCACUGUCACCUCUUUUAAAACUAACAAAUGCAUGACAUAUAAUACAAGAUUUAUAAAUUAAAGAAACCCACCCCUUUUAAGUAAUAUUCUUUAAAUCUCGGUUUCUGACAGUCCUCCUAUUUGCUCAGUAACUGUAAUAGGCGUAUUUUUCAGAAAAUAGUGAAUAAAAACUGACAAGCCAUCGGGAGAAUCUGAAUGCAUAAUUGAUAGGGGCAUAAAUUAAUAUGAUUAGGCCUUUAUUGGGUGCCACUGCUGCCAAACCUACAAAAGGGGCAUGGAAUAAAACAUGGCUAUGUUCUCAGGGCUGAUAGACAUCAAUAUGUAAUGCAUAUUAUCUCAAGCCUUCUCAUGUAGUCUGCUUAUGACAGCACUCAACCUAAUUGAAAUUUUUAUCUUUCUGUUGCAUACAGACAGUUUUGACUAGCUGCUUCCAGGGAAAAGAGAGAAAUCCAAAUGACCCAAACGAAGGUUUCUCUGUAGAGGUAUAUACCCUUCUCGCAAAUCACUUUAAAAUGGCUUUCUACUUUCUGGUUUUCUAAAGCCAUCUUCAGAAAGCAGCAUGAAAGACAUCGCAGGACUUGGUUUGCCUCUCCCCCUUUUAACUAAGCUUAACAGUGCAUUUCCCUAAAAGAAAUAAAAGAAUCUAAAAAUUUCUUCACAAAAAUCAAUACACUGUAUGCUCACUUCAGCUGAGGCUUCAUUUUGCUACAGUUCUUCAUGCUGCACACAUAUAGUUUAGGAAGAAAUAGUUUUCCUAUUCAUUAUGCAUUUUUUAAUACUAUCCCCUCCCUGACCUGUGAGGAAAAAGUUAAAAAAUGAAGAACAGUUUCUUGAACUGACAUCCAUAAUCUCUGUCCAAAAAAUGUUGGUCAGCUGGCACAACAUCUAUUUCAUCUGGAUAGUACAUUUUUUAAAACUUUUUUCCUUUUCAGUUCUUUUUAACUAUGAAUUCACACACUGUGAAAUGAAAUGCCAUUCCAAAAACACGUUACUUGUCAGUUAUAAAAUGUUUCAAACAUUUCCUUUAGAUGAGAACUUAAUGAAUAUACACUUUUCCUAAAGGGUUUUUGCUUUGACAAGCCAAAGCUAAUUAGAAGUUCCACAUUUAAUGUUUUGCUCCUUAUUGAAAAGUUCUGUACUGCAGGAGUGUUCCUGAGAAUGCAUGCUGCCAUUACUAAAUAUUUUUAUUACAACAGUGCUGGAUGUUGUACAAAUAAGAUAAGGAGUCAGUUUCUGCUCUGUUGUUUGCAGUCUAGAAUGGGAUUAUCUCUGGAGUAAGAUGCAUUUAACCUAUAAAAAUCAACACAGAAGGUGCAGAAACAGGUCCAACACCUCAUUUCUGGCUUUACUGAAACUCACUUCCUAAGAUAAAGGGAAUAAAUCUUAAAAAAUAUAUUUAUUUAAAUUUAAAUUUAUUUAUUUAUGGAAAUAUUUAAAAGCCCACAUAUUUCGUUUGAUAAAUACAAAUCAUGUUAUUGGUUAUUUUUAUGCUGUAACACAAAGACAGUAUAGCUAAAAGAUGCCUUUCUUCUCUUAAUGGUCAUUUUUUCAUUCUUCUAACUCCUCAGUACAUUAUCAUAAACCAUAGGGCAUCCAUAAAUAUGAAGAGGCCACAUGUUCUGUAGAUUAAAGAAUGACACAGACUUUGGCAAGAUCCACAUUCCUGCACCUGUUACAUCAAGUAAUUUAUUUAUUUCAGAGGCUAUAGAGCACUCCUACACUCAUUUUAUAUCUGCUACUGGUAGUUGCAAGUUCAAGACAUCUAAAAACUGGUAUGAUUCCCUUUACAUUUCUGUAUUACGUACGUUUAGGGGACACCUAGUGAGAGUUUGGACCUGGGGAAUGGACAAUGAGAACUCAUGAACCUUCCCUCAAACACCUUGGGAAACUCCAAGUCAUUUUUGUCCUAGUAUGAAUUUGACAUAUAAAUGACGUUAUAAUGAAAGACUACUAGAUACCUACUGCUGCAUGGUUUUGGUGCUAUUCAUUCUUACUUUGGUGCUUGCUUGAAAAGGUAUCCAUGUGGACCCUUGUUUAUCAAGGACCUGGAGAUGAUUUGAGGCUGUAGAGAUUUAAGGUCUGGAACCUUAAAUUGUUUUACUGAUUUUAUUCUGUGUAGCUUCUAUUUAUUUAUUUAUUGUGUGU